rnacentral:lncRNA from 1 species
CAUGACUUUUUAUGGAACAAAGGCUUCUGCAUGGAAAAGUCACCUGUGAGCACAGGAACGUGACUCAGAUUUGCAGUCACUUAAGAGGUAUACCCCAUGUUUGACUGAGGAGGGAAGACCCGCAUUGUGUUUGGGUGGCAUCAUCCCACUGAAGUUCUGAACAAAAAGGAGAAAGCAGGAUCAUGCCACCAAUGCUGCUAUCCCGACUCUACUGAACUGUACUGCUGGUGUAUCCGUGAAGUGUUUGCAAGUUGACUGAGCUGCUGCUACUGACCUGAACCGAACUGAAGAUGUCCUGACAACAAAGAUUUGCUUCAGAGAACCAUUUGUAAACAGGCCCACUUCCCCCGUGUCCUUUCCUUUCCACUUCCUCUGGUGGGUGGUGGGCUAGAAGGGAGGUUAAUGUGUUUUAAACCAUCAUUAAAAGUAGACUGUUAAAAAAUU